GCCUUGGUAGCUUAAAUUAAAGCACUGGUCUUGUAAACCAGAGACUGUAGCCUAAACCCUACCCUAGGCU
rnacentral:tRNA from 1 species